UAAUUGGAGCAGGUGCAAAAUUAUGUGGCCAAAAUUAAAUAAAAUAAAAGGCUGCAUUGAAUAUGCCGCAGAAUCGGAGGGACCAAAGGCGCAAAUUACCCAUUAGGGCAAGAGUGCGCAGGUCUCCCCCUUAAACGGCGCCGUUUUAAUCACUAUAAAAGCCUAAAAAAUCUACCUUCUGCAGUUUCAUUUUUUUUUUAAGAAUCCCAAAAAAUAAAAGGGGGUUCCCUUUUCUGUUCCAGGGUUCCAAGGCUAGGAACUCCGUCGCCAACUGAUGAAUCACCUCGGUGGUUUGCCACACCACCACUAUCACCGGUGGCCGACGACAAGCGACCACGGGAAGGUACGGCGUACGGAGGGUGGACGUGGCGAGUGAAGGCAUUGCACGCGUGCGAGGGAAAGCAGAAAGGUGUCACUACUGCGGCGCUGCGAGCCAUUGCUGCUAGGGCUUUUCGGUUUCUUUUCUGUUUUGGGUUGUAUGAUAGCUGGGUUUAGGUUUGAGCUGGGUUAAUUUGGGUUAAAACGGGUUGGGCCAGGUUGGGCCUGUGUAUUUAGACAUUAAACUGGACACUUUAUUUGAUUUUUAUUUUAAUUUAGUUUUAAAAUGCCAGGCCAAAUUUGGGUUGGUACAAAGCAGAUUUCCAUCA